GUCUCUAUCCUCUGAAAUCCUUGGUGUUGGGAAAGAAUGGAAGACUAUGUAGCUGUGUGCUCUGGUGGCCCAGAAAGGACAGUGCCAGGGUGGAGCUGAAAUGGUGGUGAUGAGAGUGGAGCAGGACCAGAUCCGAGAGCUGCAAAAAGUUCAAACAGGACUGUCUAGCUCAGUGUGGACCCAGGAGAAGAGGAGUCUGUGAGCCAGGGGGGAACCUGAGCUCAUUUUCUGGCUUCUGCUUGGUUCUAAAUCACAGUGCUUCUACAUGAAGUGGGGUAAGUGAAGAAGCAUGCUUUUGGAUACAUGCGUUUUGUUCUUUAAAAAGAAAAUACAAGGCUGAAAGUUUUGUUCCAUCCAGCUAUCGUUUUGAUAACAUUUAAUCAAAGAUGUUCCAGUUCAAUAAUUCAAGAACAACUGUGGCUGUUUUUUGCCAAAUGAAUUUCCUACAAAGUGGAUGCCCAGCCCUCUGUGGGGACAUAUGGUAAAGUGACAAUUUCACAAUCUAGUCACAAAACCCACUCCACGGAGACCAUGCACAUCUUGGGUAUUAUGAUUUUGUCCUUUUAAAAUCAAGCAAGCUCCAUCGCCAGCCCCCAGGACCUCACAGAAGGGUGGGCUUCCCAGAGUCGUGAUGGAUUUGUGGACAUCAAGAGAAGCCCUUUCAUAUGACUCCUCCCCCUUCCCAGAGACAUACAUUUUCCAGACAGGUGGCCUGUGUUGGAAGUCGUCUGGGGACAUGAACAAGACAAAAGCUAAGUGGCCCACAUGGGCACUGAACCCCUAACCUCCACCUCAUUAGCACAGUGCUCCGACCAUCUGAGCUUGCCCAUCAUAGACUAAUGAUGUGUGCACAGAGGCCCAGCCAUAUCAAUCACAUUCUCCCAAGCAAAAGUUGCUGCUUGGGGAGGAACCGAAGAUCCAGAGCUGAUUGAGGGGGAAUGAAAAGCUGCCUAAUGGGGGGUGGCUGGCCUGCUUCUUUCCUACAAGCCACUCAGUCAUCAUUCCUAGAUCCUAUCGGAUAGGGAGAAGCCUAGGAAUUCACUUGCAUUUGCUCACACUCUUCAGAUCAUCUUUCCUUCUUUAUCUGGUCCUCCAGCCGGUAUAGACCCAACCUGUGACUCUGACUUGAUCACUUUGGGUAGCCAAGCCCUGGAGCUCCAUGUCUGGGAAUCCUGGAUCUGUGCUCACAGCUGGAACUUUGGUGGUGGUGCCUGAGGCCUCAAAAGAGCUUUAAGUCCCUGAAAGUUUAGACCUACCUGUGAUCUAAUGCCUAAGAUCUGUGGCCUUAAAUCAAUAAAGAAAAUAAAAGGGGAAUGAGAAUGCCUACUCCAGGUAAUAUGAAGCCUACUCCAGGUAAGAAGUCAUUUGUCUUGAUAUUUUUAGUGGUGAUCCAAAGAGAAGGUUGUACCGUGUAAACUUCUCAGGAACCUGAGCACCGAGGUUGAGGCACAUUUGCAGAAGUAACUUUGUCACUACAGAAAGCCUGGAUGCUGGGAUGUUGUCUCUGACCAGCCAGCUGCGUGUGUGGAAGUGGAGGGGGAUAUUGGGCACCAGAACUCCACAGCACAGUAGGAAGGAUCAUGUCUGGUUUAUUGAGGCUGUCACUGAGUUUACCCCACAAGGUCCCAUUUGAAAGGGAGGAAGAGGAGAAAAAAAUUCACAGAUGCUGAUUGCCUCUGCUGAGUAGUCUGGAAGAUUUCUGGAGAGACUGGGGAGGGGUGGAGUCUGUAAAGAUCCCGGCAUCAGAGUAGAGAGAGUCUCUUCAUUGGAGAGAAUAGGAAUGUAGAGUGCAGUGGUGGUGGUGGGCACCUGUUGUCCUGGCUGCUUGCAAGAUGGCGGCAGGAAAGCUGUCCUGGGCAAAAUAGGGAGACACUGACUUAAAAACCAAACCAAAC
rnacentral:lncRNA from 1 species